AGCGAACGCUGGCGGCAGGCCUAACACAUGCAAGUCGAACGAACCUUUCGGGGUUAGUGGCGGACGGGUGAGUAACACGUGGGAACGUGCCUUUAGGUUCGGAAUAACUCAGGGAAACUUGUGCUAAUACCGAAUGUGCCCUUCGGGGGAAAGAUUAAUCGCCUUUAGAGCGGCCCGCGUCUGAUUAGCUAGUUGGUUGAGGUAAUGGCUCACCAAGGCGACGAUCAGUAGCUGGUCUGAGAGGAUGAUCAGCCACAUUGGGACUGAGACACGGCCCAAACUCCUACGGGAGGCAGCAGUGGGGAAUCUUGCGCAAUGGGCGAAAGCCUGACGCAGCCAUGCCGCGUGAAUGAUGAUGGUCUUAGGAUUGUAAAAUUCUUUCACCGGGGACGAUAAUGACGGUACCCGGAGAAGAAGCCCCGGCUAACUUCGUG
rnacentral:rRNA from 1 species